rnacentral:rRNA from 1 species
GAUGAACGCUGGCGGCGUGCUUAACACAUGCCAGUCGAACGGAAAGGCCCCUGCUUGCAGGGGUACUCGAGUGGCGAACGGGUGAGUAACACGUGGGUGAUCUGCCCUGCACUUCGGGAUAAGCCUGGGAAACUGGGUCUAAUACCGGAUAGGACCACAUUUUGGAUGGUGUGGUGGAAAGAUUUUCGGUGUGGGAUGAGCUCGCGGCCUAUCAGCUUGUUGGUGGGGUAAUGGCCUACUAAGGCGUCGACGGGUAGCCGGCCGGAGAGGGUGUAGGGCGACAUUGGGACAGAGAUACGGCCCAGACUCCUACGGGAGGCAGCAGUGGGGAAUAUUGCACAAUGGGCGCAAGCCUGAUGCAGCGACGCCGCGUGGGGGAUGACGGCCUUCGGGUUGUAAACUCCUUUCGCUAGGGACGAAGCGUUUUUGUGACGGUACCUGGAGAAGAAGCACCGGCUAACUACGUG